rnacentral:lncRNA from 1 species
UUUAAAUCUCCUUCCUGAAGUGCAUGUUUGGAACUCAAUAUUAGACUUUAGUAAACAGCAAAUAUUUGCUUCUCUUUGUUUCUUAAUAUGAUCUAUUGCUGUCUAAUUAGCGUUACAAAACAUACUAAAAAUGUUUAGUAUUUAUUCUGAUAUCGGGAGUUCUUUGUUCAAGUUCAGCUACUACGACAUGCAGGGGGAGACCGACCUAGGUGGCCACAUGAUGAGGAAACGUCCUUUGUUAUGCAUCAGAUGAGACCAAUUUCGGCCUCUCUUAUAACUCAAUCUUCUAGUGACGGUGACUCCAAAUGGGAUCGACCUAUUCCAGUGAAUCUUGGGUCCUCAUCACAAUAUCCUCCACGUGCUGGUCAAGUUGCGCCAUUUGGGUACCAGACGCUAUCAAAUAGGUUUAAAGAUACGAAUCCUGGUCCUGCUGCCAUAUCUCGAACAGCUGCUGAUGAAGGAUCUAGGACUGGAAUUAAAGGAUCUGGAAUUUUGAGUUCUAUCAAUGCAACUAUAGGAGUUUCUGAGAGACUCUCUUCGGGAGUGCUUAUACAUACUGAUAAACAAAAGUCUGGUGCUUACAUUGCAGAGCCAGAAUCUGCUACACCCAGGUUAAUUCACGAUACUAGAUUUUUCUAAUUUUCUUACGCGAGAUAUAUGCAUGAUUGGCUAAAAGAUUUAUGAGUUCUAUUUGUCCUUUUUUUAAUGACAGUCAACACAGAAUAGAAUCGGCCAGUUUUCAAAUGACUAUAUUUUAUGGUGGUCAAGCUCACGUUUUUGACAAAGUUCACCCCAAUAAGGUCUGCUUUUUUGCAAUUUUUCGCUACCAGUUGACUGAUACAUGACUGCUUAACUGCUUUUUGUACUAUUAUCUUGAACAUAAAUGUUCUCAUGUUCGUUUGACUUGAUUAAUUAUUAGUAUGAAAAGAGAAAAUGAAUCCUUUAGUCUAGCCGUGAUCCAAUGUCAUAGCAUCUUUAUCAUCACGCUUAAUUUUAGCUAUGCUUGUAAGUAUUAUGCUUUUUAUGCUAACCCUGGAAGUUACUCAUAUUAUUGCAUAGAAGUGGAGGUUGGAUGUCAUUAUCAAGUAAGCCUUUUCGGGUUUAUGUAUCAAGGAGUGUGUGUUUCUACUGUUGGAUCUUGGACAGGAAGUGUACUGAAGAUAUGGAGGAGCAUGUCUACAAAAGCCUCUCAUAAUGGUUGCUGGAAGCCAAGGGAACCUUUUGAUUCUGGUCACUGAACUUAAGAUCUAAUUUGACUAUUCAGGAAAAUGUCUUUGGAGAUUUUCUGAUAAAUCUUCCUUGUGCUGUAGGGGCAUAGGGUUGUUACGAGCAAGCAUAGUUUGUAACAAAUAGUCAAGAUCUAAAAAUGUUUGGUGAGUCAUUCCCUUAGAAGCAUUUGAAAGCUCAUAUUUACUGGGAUUUUCUUCUUUUAUCCUGUUUACAAAAUGGAAUGUAGGUGCCGGAGAUAGUUGUUUUAGUAGUAAGAUUGGAAUAGUUUUUGCUCCCUUGAGUCGUUAUUUUGAUGAUUAUGCAAUUUUUUCUUUUCUUAAAAAUGCCCUAUAAAUUUUGUUGGUUUACCCUCUGAAAAUGGAAAAACAAGUUGGAGUUUUCAAUUGCAUUGCAACUCGAGAAUUUUAAAUUUUUAAAAUUACCAUUGAGAAUGUUUGUUUUAAACCUUCUUGAAGUGCCAAAAGGUUGUGGAUGUUGAAUUACUCAAACCUUUUUCUUGCAAGUCAUUCUUCUCUGCUCUUGUUGAUUUGCCACUCCACCUCAUCUUUGUCAUGAUCAAGUCCAUUUUGUUAAGGUUUUUCUUGUGACUGGUCUUUCAUGGGAAAAUUAUUACUUGUGAAUUGGUUCAAAAGAAAGCCUAUUUCUCUCUUUGUAGUCGUGAUGUGUAAUACCUAAAAAAAGGCUUGGAAGGGUAUUGAUCAUUUGUUUUUACGUUGUGAUGAUGGCUAUGGUGUCAAUUUUUUCAUGUAGUUGGUUUUCCACUCUAAUGCUCGGACCCUUCGAAACAGUUGGAGAACUUUUGUCGGACACGACACAACAUGGAUAUGGGUAUGAAAUAUAUGUUGAAUCCUCCAAGUUUCAACUAAAUACUUCAUCCCUUUUUUUUUAUUCUUCUUUCUUUUUUUUUCUUUUCCUUUUCUUUCUGUUUCUACUCUCUAUAAACCUAGCGCCACCUCUGAGAGGUUGGAGAAAGGCGACGAUGCUAGAUUUUCCCUUCUUCUUCUUUCUUUUUUCUUUCCCUUUUCUUUUCUUUCUUUUUCUCCCUUCUUUCCCUUUCCAUAUCGGUGAUUUAGAGUUUUGUUUGUAUAAAAUGAAAAUGGGUUCUAUAUAAUACGACUUAGCACUCCACUAAAUCUAAAUUGCAGUCAAGUUCCUCAUUUCUAUUUUAUAUAACAUUUAGUAAUUAACUUCUCAUAAUUGAAAACUAAAUUCCAAAAUUCUAUUUUAUUCAUCUUAACCCUUUAUUCGAUACUAUUUUCUUCUUUGUGAAUAAUUGAUUUUGAUCUAUUCAAAAUAAUACCGAGUUAGUAAAAAAAUUGAUGUUUAAAAGAUAUACCCACGUAGCCGUGUUCAAAAUUUAGACUAAUUUUUGGAAAAAUUUAGUUUUGCGUGAGGUCACUAAUGGAGAUAUAAGUGUGUGUUCAUUCCGAAUUACUUCGUUUGAAAUUGCUAUAUUUGCUAAUCCCUCUGUCCAUAAAGAUAUGCUUACUUUCUUUUCUCGUAUGUCCUAAAUUAUGGACCACUUUUCUUAUUGAGAGUAUAGUUAUUGAGCAAUGCUAUUCAUCUGCUAUUAAGCACCAUUCUAGGUGGUAAUUACAUGGAGAUUCAUUUAAAUACAAAGUCACACUACUCAUUUAAUUUAACCUAUAAAAUGUAGCCAUCUAGACUGGGGCUAGAUAGCAUUAUUCAUAGUUAUUUCUUAAUUUUUUAAUAUGUCCCUAUUUAAUAUAUAUUUUUAUGACAAAUAUGAACUGCUCCUAUCUAAAUCAUUAUCAAUGUAGGGUUAUAUUAAAAAAAAAAAAUGUAAAAUUUAUUGUUCUAACUAUGGUAAUUACAUUUGUUCAAUAUGUGUGAAAAUGGAAGCAAACAUAUCUUUGUGGGAUGGAAGGAGUAUAACUUUUCCUCUUUGUUUUAUUUGUUAAUUGGAUAAUUGUUUGACGGAAAUGGUUGCUGAUUUACUCAAGAAAUCCUACUCCAUAUGCACAUGCACCAGCCUUUUUAUUUCUUGAAUUGCAUUGUUGAAACUAUCAUGCCGCGAGCAUAUUAGUGAUUAUUGGAUGAGAUACUUGAAGAUUAACUUGUAGUUUGGUCAACUAUGCUAGAAAAACAUGUUGGCAGUCAUUUGGAGGGGAUCCCAUUUUAUCAGUCAAGAGGUGAGUUUAAAGGACUUGAGACAAGUAAUAGAUUCAUAGGAACCAAACGAAGUAACUCUGAUUCUUUUAUGGUGUCAUCAAAAGAGAAAUUUCCACAAUUGCAACCAGACGAGAGCUCACAUUUAAUGAAGGUUUGUUCUUUUUAUAUUUACGUCUUCCCAAUUAUUUUCCUUCUCGACUUGUUAUCUUAGAAUAGGUAAAGGGAUGUUGUGGUCUUAUCAUUGUUUAAAUCUCCUUCCUGAAGUGCAUGUUUGGAACUCAAUAUUAGACUUUAGUAAACAGCAAAUAUUUGCUUCUCUUUGUUUCUUAAUAUGAUCUAUUGCUGUCUAAUUAGCGUUACAAAACAUGCUAAAAAUGUUUAGUAUUUAUUCUGAUAUCGGGAGUUCUUUGUUCAAGUUCAGCUACUACGACAUGCAGGGGGAGACCGACCUAGGUGGCCACAUGAUGAGGAAACGUCCUUUGUUAUGCAUCAGAUGAGACCAAUUUCGGCCUCUCUUAUAACUCAAUCUUCUAGUGACGGUGACUCCAAAUGGGAUCGACCUAUUCCAGUGAAUCUUGGGUCCUCAUCACAAUAUCCUCCACGUGCUGGUCAAGUUGCGCCAUUUGGGUACCAGACGCUAUCAAAUAGGUUUAAAGAUACGAAUCCUGGUCCUGCUGCCAUAUCUCGAACAGCUGCUGAUGAAGGAUC